rnacentral:rRNA from 1 species
UACAGAGGGUGCGAGCGUUAAUCGGAAUUACUGGGCGUAAAGCGCGCGUAGGCGGCUUUGCAAGUCGGGUGUGAAAUCCCCAGGCUUAACCUGGGAACUGCAUUCGAGACUGCAUUGCUAGAGUAUGGGAGAGGGAAGUGGAAUUUCCGGUGGAGCGGUGAAAUGCGUAGAGAUCGGAAAGAACACCAACGGCGAAAGCACUCUGCUGGGCCGACACUGACACUGAGAGACGAAAGCUAGGGGAGCGAAUGGG